GUUGUUGUGUUUGUUUUUUGUCUGAUGAUGGUCCAGUUUUUGUGUAAUUUUUGUAGUCUGUUAGAAUGCCUCAAAACCUCAGCUCUUCAAGAUUAUAAAUGAUCUAAAUAAAUUAUCAUUUCUCAUGUUGUGAGUUAACUUGUCUUCAGACGAUGGAAAACAUAUCAUUAACUGCAACAAAUUAAAACUGCAAAGUUGAAAAGAAAAUUUGUAAAGAAUUAUGCAAGACUUAAAGAUUAUGC
rnacentral:lncRNA from 1 species